UACGUAGGGGGCAAGCGUUGUCCGGAUUUAUUGGGCGUAAAGCGCACGCAGGCGGUGCGGUAAGUUUCGAGUGACAGGUGGUGGCUUAACUGCCACAGGACUCGGAAAACUGCUGCACUUGAGGGCUUGAGAGGGACGCGGAAUUCCUGGUGUAGCGGUGAAAUGCGCAGAUAUCAGGAAGAACACCCGUGGCGAAGGCGGCUUUCUGGGACGGUACUGACGCUGAGACGCGAAAGCGUGGGGAGCGAACAGG
rnacentral:rRNA from 1 species